GCCUUCGUGGUGUAGUGGUCAGCACACUCGGCGCUAAUUCGAUAGGUCCGUAGUUCGAGUCCCGGCGAGUGCA
rnacentral:tRNA from 1 species